UACGGAGGGUGCAAGCGUUGUUCGGAAUUAUUGGGCGUAAAGCGUGCGUAGGCGGAUCGUUAAGUCUGAUGUGAAAUCCCUCGGCUCAACCGAGGACGUGCAUUGGAUACUGGCGAUCUUGAGUCCCGGAGAGGGUAGCGGAAUUCCUAGUGUAGAGGUGAAAUUCGUAGAUAUUAGGAGGAACACCAGUGGCGAAAGCGGCUACCUGGACGGUGACUGACGCUGAGGCACGAAAGCAUAGGUAGCAAAC
rnacentral:rRNA from 1 species